CAGCAGCCGCGGUAAUACCAGCCCCGCGAGUGGUCGGGACUUUUAUUGGGCCUAAAGCGUCCGUAGCCGGCCCGGCAAGUCCCCCCUUAAAGCCCACGGCUCAACCGUGGGAGCGGGGGGAUACUGCCGGGCUAGGGGGCGGGAGAGGCCGGGGGUACUCCCGGGGUAGGGGCGAAAUCCGUUAAUCCCGGGAGGACCGCCAGUGGCGAAGGCGCCCGGCUGGAACGCGCCCGACGGUGAGGGACGAAAGCUGGGGGAGCAAAGGGGAUUAGAUACCCCCGUAGUCCCAGCUGUAAACGAUGCGGGCUAGGUGUGGGGCGGGCUUCGAGCCCGCCCAGUGCCGGAGGGAAGCCGUUAAGCCCGCCGCCUGGGGAGUACGGCCGCAAGGCUGAAACUUAAAGGAAUUGGCGGG
rnacentral:rRNA from 1 species